AGCGGGAAGUAGUUUACUACUUUGCCGGCGAGCGGCGGACGGGUGAGUAAUGUCUGGGAAACUGCCUGGUGGAGGGGGAUAACUACUGGAAACGGUAGCUAAUACCGCAUAACGUCUUCGGACCAAAGUGGGGGACCUUCGGGCCUCGCGCCAUCGGAUGUGCCCAGAUGGGAUUAGCUAGUAGGUGGGGUAAUGGCUCACCUAGGCGACGAUCCCUAGCUGGUCUGAGAGGAUGACCAGCCACACUGGAACUGAGACACGGUCCAGACUCCUACGGGAGGCAGCAGUGGGGAAUAUUGCACAAUGGGCGCAAGCCUGAUGCAGCCAUGCCGCGUGUGUGAAGAAGGCCUUCGGGUUGUAAAGCACUUUCAGCGAGGAGGAAGGCCAAUAACUUAAUACGUUGUUGGAUUGACGUUACUCGCAGAAGAAGCACCGGCUAACUCCGUGCCAGCAGCCGCGGUAAUACGGAGGGUGCAAGCGUUAAUCGGAAUUACUGGGCGUAAAGCGCACGCAGGCGGUUUGUUAAGUCAGAUGUGAAAUCCCCGCGCUUAACGUGGGAACUGCAUUUGAAACUGGCAAGCUAGAGUCUUGUAGAGGGGGGUAGAAUUCCAGGUGUAGCGGUGAAAUGCGUAGAGAUCUGGAGGAAUACCGGUGGCGAAGGCGGCCCCCUGGACAAAGACUGACGCUCAGGUGCGAAAGCGUGGGGAGCAAACA
rnacentral:rRNA from 1 species